GACAGAGGGUGCAAACGUUGUUCGGAAUUACUGGGCGUAAAGCGCACGUAGGUGGCGACGUAAGUCGGGUGUGAAAGCCCCGGGCUCAACCUGGGAAUUGCAUUCGAGACUGCAUUGCUGGAGUACGGAAGAGGAAGGCGGAAUUCCCGGUGUAGCGGUGAAAUGCGUAGAUAUCGGGAGGAACAUCAGUGGCGAAGGCGGCCUUCUGGUCCAGUACUGACACUCAAGUGCGAAAGCGUGGGGAGCAAACAGG
rnacentral:rRNA from 1 species